CUGGAAAGUCCGACGAUACAGGGUGAUAGUCCCGUAGUUGACGACGUGUGUUCAGUGAAAUCGAGUAGGGCGGGACACGUGAUAUCCUGUCUGAAUAUGGGGGGACCAUCCUCCAAGGCUAAAUACUACUGACUGACCGAUAGUGAACCAGUACCGUGAGGGAAAGGCGAAAAGAACCCCUGUGAGGGGAGUGAAAUAGAACCUGAAACCGUGUACGUACAAGCAGUAGGAGCAGGCUUUGUCCUGUGACUGCGUACCUUUUGUAUAAUGGGUCAGCGACUUAUAUUCAGUGGCAAGGUUAACCAUCUAGGGGAGCCGUAGGGAAACCGAGUCUUAACUGGGCGUUCAGUCUCUGGAUAUAGACCCGAAACCAGGUGAUCUAGCCAUGGGCAGGUUGAAGGUUGAGUAACAUCAACUGGAGGACCGAACCGACUAAUGUUGAAAAAUUAGCGGAUGACUUGUGGCUAGGGGUGAAAGGCCAAUCAAACCUGGAGAUAGCUGGUUCUCCCCGAAAGCUAUUUAGGUAGCGCCUCGGACGAAUACUACUGGGGGUAGAGCACUGUUAAGGCUAGGGGGUCAUCCCGACUUACCAACCCUUUGCAAACUCCGAAUACCAGUAAGUACUAUCCGGGAGACACACGGCGGGUGCUAACGUCCGUCGUGGAGAGGGAAACAACCCAGACCGCCAGCUAAGGUCCCAAAUUACUACUAAGUGGGAAACGAUGUGGGAAGGCUCAGACAGCCAGGAUGUUGGCUUAGAAGCAGCCAUCAUUUAAAGAAAGCGUAAUAGCUCACUGGUCGAGUCGGCCUGCGCGGAAGAUGUAACGGGGCUAAGUAGUAAACCGAAGCUGCGGCAAUAUACUUUUGUAUAUUGGGUAGGGGAGCGUUCUGUAAGCGGUUGAAGGUGUGUGGUAACGCAUGCUGGACGUAUCAGAAGUGCGAAUGCUGACAUGAGUAA
rnacentral:rRNA from 1 species